UUAGCUUCAGAAGCAAGUCACCACCAAGCAAGUGGCACUAUGAAGACUAAGGAGCUCUCCAAACAGGUACUGACAGGAGGCGUGACGAGGACGCUGAUCCAGUGGACCUGGUGCCAGUAAGGAUGGUCGUCACGGAGACGAUAAGACCGUCCAGGAUAGAGAAAUCCUUCGACUUCACUGCCUCUUCAAUGACGAUCCCACAGAUGAAGAAGCUGGAAGUGGAGGUCCUGGGCUGUCCUGGUUACA